rnacentral:rRNA from 1 species
AGUCGAUUAUGGCUCAGAUUGAACGCUGGCGGGAUGCUUUACACACAAGUCGAACUGCAGCACGGACUGGUCCGGUGGCGAGGUGGCGAACGGGCAGUAAUGUAUCAACGUGCCUGAAGAAGGAUAUUCAUGAAAGUGUAGCUGACAAUGGGCAUACCUCGGGGAAAAAGCGGGGACCUUCGGCCCCCGCACUACAGAAGGCCGAUAUCUGAUGAAGUAGUUGGUGGGGUAACGGCUCACCACAUAUGACGAUCCGCAGCUGUUUGAGAGGACGACCAGCCAAGACUGGACCGAGACACGGCCCAGACUCCUACGGGGAGGCAGGGAAUUUUGGACAAUGGGGAAAUCCUGAUCCAGCCAUCUCGCGUGUGCGAUGAAGGCCUUCAAGGUAGUGUAAAGCACUUUUGGCAGGAAAAAAGAAACGGCACGGGAUAGCCACUCGUGCAACUGACGGUACCGCAGAAUAAGCACCGUGGCUAACCACGUGCCAGCAGCCGCGGCAGUCAUGUAGAAAAGCUGCUAACUGAAUUACUGGUAAAGUGCAGCAGGCGGUUCUGGAAAAGAAAGAUGUGAAACCUAGAGCUAACUUUGAACCGUGAUUUAACUACUGAGCCAGAGUGUCAGAGGGAGGUGGAAUUGCAGCAGUGAAAUGCAGAUACAGGAGGAACACCGACGGCGGAAGGCAGCCCUUGGGAUAAUACCGACGUCGGCGUACGAAAGUGCGGGAGCAAAAUACUAGAUGGCCCUGGUAGUCCACGCCCUAAAACGAUGUCAACUAGCUGCUGGGGCCUUUCGGGCCUGGUAUGAAGCAGCUAACGGGCAGUGAAGUUGACCGCCUCGGGAGUACGGUCGCAAGAUUAAAACUCAAAGGGACUGACGGGGACCGCACAAGCGGUGGAUGAUGUGACUAAUUCCGAUGCAACGGCGAAAAACCUUACCUACCCUUGACAUGUCUGGAAUCUGGAAGAGAUUUGGAGUGCUCGCAAGAGAACCGGAACACGGGUGCUGCAUGGCUGUCGUCAGCUCGUGUCGUGAGAUGCUGGGUUAAGUCCCGCAACGAGCGCAACCUUUGUCAUUAGUUGAGCAGCCAAAGGGCACUCUAAUGAGACUGCCGGUGACAAACCGGAGGAAGGUGGGAAUACGUUUGCGUCCUCAUGGCUCCUGCUGGUAGGGCUUCACACGUCAUACAAUGGUCGCAUUAGAGGUCGCCAACCCGCGAGGGAGCCAAUCCCAGAAACCCGAUCGUAGUCCGGAUCGCAGUCUGCAACUCGACUGCGUGAAGUCGGAAUCGCUAUAAUCGCGGAUCAGCAUGUCGCGGUGAAUACGUUCCCGGGUCUUGUACACCGCCCGUCACACCAUGGGAGUGGGUUUACCAGAAGUAGUUAGCCUAACCGUAAGGAGGGCGAUUACCACGGUAGGAUUCAUGACUGGGGUGAAGUCGUAACAAGGUAG